AUCAUUUUGUGAAAAAAAGAAGGCCGCGGCAAAUUUCCAGUAACAGCUAAAUCAUAUCAAGUAGUAGGAUGGGUUUUGAUGAAGUUUUGUGUGAUUAAAAGCCUACUUAGACUUAUCAGCACGUUGAUAAAAUAGAAGAAGAGGGAGAGCCAGUGAAGGCAUGCUAAUGUGCUAGCAGGGCGCUGCUGGAGAUUCCUGCUCUAAUAGGUUCCAGACAAGAGCUCCAGGAUGGAGGAUGGACGGAAGCAGAGCUGAAACCAGAGGGAAAGGACUGCGACUGCUGCUCAACUGGGAGGGAACGGGACAAAGCUAUCAAUCCCUCAGGUUAUAGUGGGAGCAUGGCAGUUAGCUGACUGCGCAUCUGGGAAGUCAUCUGGAUCAGUUCAUCAGUGGUAUGAAGGAGGCCUGGAAGCAGGACUCUGUCUUUAUUAGAUGACUGACCGUCCUAACCUGGGAAAGGUCACUGUGAGCAUCAGCAGAGACGCGGCAAGACACACCCACAGCUUAGCUCUGACAGGCAGGAAUUGCUAUGAGACUGAGAGCAAGGACGGAACGAGUCAUAUGUUUUUCUUAUGUCAAUUGCUUCUGUUGGGUACCGUGAUUAUGAAAACAUUUUUUCCCAUGAAUAA